AACGAACGCUGGCGGCAGGCUUAACACAUGCAAGUCGAACGCCCCGCAAGGGGAGUGGCAGACGGGUGAGUAACGCGUGGGAACAUACCCUUUCCUGCGGAAUAGCUCUGGGAAACUGGAAUUAAUACCGCAUACGCCCUACGGGGGAAAGAUUUAUCGGGGAAGGAUUGGCCCGCGUUGGAUUAGCUAGUUGGUGGGGUAAAGGCCUACCAAGGCGACGAUCCAUAGCUGGUCUGAGAGGAUGAUCAGCCACAUUGGGACUGGGACACGGCCCAAACUCCUACGGGAGGCAGCAGUGGGAAAUAUUGGACAAUGGGCGCAAGCCUGAUCCAGCCAUGCCGCGUGAGUGAUGAAGGCCUUAGGGUUGUAAAGCUCUUUCACCGAUGAAGAUAAUGACGGUAGUCGGAGAAGAAGCCCCGGCUAACUUCGUGCCAGCCGCCGCAGUAACAC
rnacentral:rRNA from 1 species